UAUCCCCUUUAUUGCCCAUUUAGGACUGGCCAUGUCUUAAAUGGAUAACACAGGGGGGUAGACUAAUUCUCUCAAAAACCUGAAGUGAAGGCUUAAUAUUCCUUGCUUCGGAUCCUGUCGGGAGAAACAUGU
ensembl:snoRNA